GCCCUUCAGAGGGGGACAACAGUUGGGAACGACUGCUAAUACCGCAUACGAUCCAAUCUCGGCAUCGAGACUGGAUGAAAGGUGGCCUCUAUUUAUAAGCUAUCACUGAAGGAGGGGAUUGCGUCUGAUUAGCUAGUUGGAGGGGUAACGGCCCACCAAGGCGAUGAUCAGUAGCCGGUCUGAGAGGAUGAACGGCCACAUUGGGACUGAGACACGGCCCAG
rnacentral:rRNA from 1 species